GCUUCGUUUCUGUCCAACAGGAUGAUUCUGGUGCCGGUGCUGCUCCUCUGCGUCUUCACUGAUGUGAGCUGUGAGGAGCUCAGUCCAGUCCACAGUGAGCACAAUCAGCUCUCUGUGGAAGGCAACACCGUGUCUCUGUCCUACAACUACCCCAAACUCGUAACUACAGAUUAUUUCUUCUGGUAUCGGCAACAUCCAGGAAAACCACCUCAGUUUCUCAUCUCACACUCAGCAUCAGGAUCUGUGCUAAAUGAUCCAGUCCCGGGACUGAAGGUCCAAGUGGAGGAAAAACUGAUCCAGAUGAACAUCUCCUCUGCCACAGUGGCAGAUUCUGCUGUUUACUUCUGCGCCGUGAAGCCCACAGUGACAGGAAACCCCGAGUCCCUGUACAAAAACCCAUCAUCUCAGCAAAGAGCGCUCACACUUCAGCUCCUCGGUUCUCUUAGACAACACCGCCAUCAAGUGGAUUCUUCCAGCUUUGCAUGAUGCUGGAAGAAAACGCUGAUGAUGCUUAAAUACA